AAUGGCGCCGAUGCUAAUGAAGUUGUAGCGGAGGUCUGCCCAGCUGAUCGAUGAGCCCGUCAGUCCAUCAGAAUUGGAAAAAGCUCAGCUUGGGGACUUGUCCUAUGCCGCGUUGCUCCGAUUCCAGUCAAUUGUAGGAGCCAUCGCGUUCCAACUUCUUGUAGGACGAACAGAUGUUUCUGCAAGCUGCAUUAUUUUACCCCCGCACAUCCCAGAUGCGAGAAGGAGACCUCCGCUCUUUCAUCCCCGUCGAUGAUAUCGGUAGCACUGACGGAAAAUACACUGGCCCUAGACAUUGACUGAAGAUCUGAAAUACCCUGCAUGUCUCUGACUGGUUGCCAAGUUUCCGACGGAUUGGCUGAAAUCUUCUUCGAUGCCGAAGGCGAUCCCCCUCGGGAUUUUCCUCUCACUCGUCUCUCCUCCGUAAGCGAUCCACCCUCGCCUUCAUUCCGAUGUCCUUUCGCGUCCGGAUGUGGAAGGUCGGAGAAAGAACCGAAGAUAUUACAGGAAUUACUGGCAGCCGAGCCGCGAUUCACCUCCCUUCUUGAGAAUCUGAUUGAGAGUUUGAAGACCGACUCAAGUACAACAUUUCGAAUGUAGGAAUGAUAGGUCAGACAUCCGCUUCUAUAGGGGGACAAUGUGUCUCGGGCUUAUUACUGCCUGGAGAAAUUUAAUAAAAUAUCUCACAAAAGGA